GCGAGCCGUAUGAGAUGAAAGUCUCAUGUACGGUUCUGAUGGGGGGAAAACCUGGAGAUAAUUUCAAAUGGUUACCUAUCCAUAU
rnacentral:ncRNA from 1 species